ensembl:lncRNA
ACCUGGUCAGAAGGUAUGGCUGUCAACACGGGACAUCAGAAUGUGCCUGCCCUGCAAGAAGUUCAGUCCCAGAUGUCAGCCCCUCCACCAUAAUCAAACAUAUAAAUCCAAAGAACCACCUCUUCCAUUAAUCCAGGAGGAUGGUACCAUCUACAAGGUCAAAGAGAUCUUGGACUCCAGGCACCGUGGUGGUCUCUUAGAAUAUCUUGUGGACAGGGAAGUUUAUGGGCCAGAGGAAUGUUCAUGGGUUCCCAGAGUUGACAUCCUACACUGCUGGAAGCCUUUCACUUCACUCAUCCAGAUUGCGCUGGGCUCCGAGGAAGAGUUAUCAUCUCCGUGGAUACUCUGCAUACUCAUCCAAGGUGUGUGCUGUCCUGUCUCCCUUCCACGGUGUGUGCUAUCCUGUCUCCCUUCCACGAUCUCCUGCAAAAUCAUAUACUGGGUUACAUUCCUCAUCUUUCCAAAAAUCUACUUUAUUGACUAUUACUCAC